rnacentral:rRNA from 1 species
UGGCGCACGGGUGCGUAACGCGUGGGAACCUGCCCUAAGGUUUGGAAUAACAGUGAGAAAUCGCUGCUAAUACCAAAUAAUGUCUUCGGACCAAAGAUUUAUCGCCUUUGGAUGGGCCCGCGUAGGAUUAGCUAGUUGGUGGGGUAAAGGCUCACCAAGGCGACGAUCCUUAGCUGGUCUUAGAGGAUGAUCAGCCACACUGGGACUGAGACACGGCCCAGACUCCUACGGGAGGCAGCAGUGGGGAAUAUUGGACAAUGGGCGAAAGCCUGAUCCAGCAAUGCCGCGUGAGUGAUGAAGGCCUUAGGGUUGUAAAGCUCUUUUACCAGGGAUGAUAAUGACAGUACCUGGAGAAUAAGCUCCGGCUAACUCCGUGCCAGCAGCCGCGGUAAUACGGAGGGAGCUAGCGUUGUUCGGAAAUACUGGGCGUAAAGCGCACGUAGGCGGCUUUCCAAGUCAGGGGUGAAAUCCCGGGGCUCAACCCCGGAACUGCCCUUGAAACUGGAUCGCUAGAAUAUUGGAGAGGCAAGUGGAAUUCCGAGUGUAGAGGUGAAAUUCGUAGAUAUUCGGAAGAACACCAGUGGCGAAGGCGACUUGCUG